GAAGUUUUCUAAUUUUUAAGUGAUGGCAUUCGCGUUACAUUUUAGCCAAGGCCUACUCUAUAAUGGGAUAAAUUUUUCGCGGAAUAAGAAUCUCCUAGAGCUAUGUUUUGGAGUAUCAUUCUGAUGGUAAAAUAUCUAUUCAAUUUUAAAUAACUUUUGAAUUUCCUUCUCUGUAUUUGCAGUGACGUAACAUUACUGAUUGGUGGGGUUCUCUAGGGACAAGCCUUUUCCUUUUUCCCAUCCAAUCUGUGAGGCAACCUUGUUUGUGUGUUAUAAUUAGAACAGUAAUGCAUAAAGAAGGAAAUGUUCACAUUUUCCUUAGUGAAGUUUUCUCUCAUUGAAAAAAUCGAAAUAUUUGGUUGAAGCUACUCUGAUGAUAUUCAGUUGCAGUAAUUGGAUCUUGUUUCUCUUUUCAUGAAGGGUGUUUGGUCUUUCCGGCAAUGAAAGAUGCCACCAAAGGUUAUUGAUUUUCCAUCAAUGGCUGCCACUCUGCUGAAGACGUCUCCCUAAACAAUUCAAAAAGAAAAUUCCAAAUGCCAAGCCCAUAGAGAUGGUUUACAUAUUGUCAAUUGAAAACUGUCUGUAUCGUGAAAAGGAUAUGGAUAUUUUGGUCCAGCCUCACUCGUGGUGUGUUCAAAGUGAAUGGCAUAAUUUAAGAUUUUCGAUUUCGAUUUGGCAACGUCGCGGGCAAGAAUUGGUCUGAAGUCCCUCCUUCGCCAUUUUGGAUGUAGCCUUCGUCACGGAUCAUCGUCUGACGUAUUGUCCGGUCUUUUACUACUUAAUACGCCUUCUUUUCUUGUUAUUCUUUGGCCCCUAGAUUCUUCACUGACCAACAAAGAAAAUGCAUUUUCACCUUACUUUUAUUUCUUUGGGACUUGAGUUAUCAGCAGUUGGUUGAAAAGAGCAUCACUGGGAUCACAAUUUUAUUCUCCAUUCAUCUUUGGAAUCCUGGGUUGCUCACUGUUUAUGGAACAUACUCAUCUAAUCAGGCCAAAAGUACGGCAAAUCUAUCCACAUCGAACAUGGAACCGAUUACCGUAUUGUACAUAGAAAUCUUUGAAGAUGGAAUGGGUUUGAUGCAUUUUGGAAUAAUGUUCCAGAAAGCAGCAUUCCAGGGGCAAGAAUCUAAGUUGAAAGGCUGAUCAACACAUUAUGUAUUGUUCAACUUGUUUUCUUUGCUCCUUGGUGAAUUUGAAUUAAAUUGUAAAUUGAAAAGUUAUGGAACUAAAUUUCCAAUUAGUUAGAUGGAAUUUGUGGAAGUUAGCGAAAUGUCAGGACGGAGUAAUACGCAAAAUUUGGAGUCAAAAAGGUGUUUUCAUGUGGUGAAUGCUUAGAACGUCUGUUUGCACUUCCAGAAGUUUUAAGCUUGGGACUUGGCAAAGGCAGUAGAUGGUGGAAUUUGCAUUACAAGUCAGAAUCGUGUGUUGUUGCCUGUCGACCAUUAAGUAACAGUUCGAGCUAGUAUGUCUUAAUGAUUGCU